rnacentral:rRNA from 1 species
AGCGAACGCUGGCGGCAGGCUUAACACAUGCAAGUCGAGCGCCCGUAGCAAUACGGGAGCGGCAGACGGGUGAGUAACGCGUGGGAACGUGCCCUUUAGUCCGGAAUAACUCAGGGAAACUUGAGCUAAUACCGGAUAAGUCCGUAAGGAGAAAGAUUUAUCGCUGAAGGAUCGGCCCGCGUAAGAUUAGCUAGUUGGUGAGGUAACGGCUCACCAAGGCUAUGAUCUUUAGCUGUUCUGAGAGGAAGAUCAGCCACACUGGGACUGAGACACGGCCCAGACUCCUACGGGAGGCAGCAGUGGGGAAUAUUGGACAAUGGGCGCAAGCCUGAUCCAGCCAUGCCGCGUGAGUGAUGAAGGCCUUAGGGUUGUAAAGCUCUUUUACCAGGGAAGAUAAUGACGGUACCUGGAGAAUAAGCCCCGGCUAACUUCGUG